UGGGAAUUUUGGACAAUGGGCGCAAGCCUGAUCCAGCAAUGCCGCGUGCAGGAUGAAGGCCUUCGGGUUGUAAACUGCUUUUGUACGGAACGAAAAGGCUCUGGUUAAUACCUGGGGCUCAUGACGGUACCGUAAGAAUAAGCACCGGCUAACUACGUGCCAGCAGCCGCGGUAAUACGUAGGGUGCAAGCGUUAAUCGGAAUUACUGGGCGUAAAGCGUGCGCAGGCGGUUAUAUAAGACAGAUGUGAAAUCCCCGGGCUCAACCCGGGACCUGCAUUUGUGACUGUAUAGCUAGAGUACGGUAGAGGGGGAUGGAAUUCCGCGUGUAGCAGUGAAAUGCGUAGAUAUGCGGAGGAACACCGAUGGCGAAGGCAAUCCCCUGGACCUGUACUGACGCUCAUGCACGAAAGCGUGGGGAGCAAACA
rnacentral:rRNA from 1 species